AAUAGAUACCCGGGUAGUCCAUGCCGUAAACGUUGGGCACUAGGUGUGGGGCUCAUUCCACGAGUUCCGUGCCGCAGCAAACGCAUUAAGUGCCCCGCCUGGGGAGUACGGCCGCAAGGCUAAAACUCAAAGGAAUUGACGGGGGCCCGCACAAGCGGCGGAGCAUGCGGAUUAAUUCGAUGCAACGCGAAGAACCUUACCAAGGCUUGACAUGCACGGGAAGCCACCAGAGAUGGUGGUCUCUUUGGACACUCGUGCACAGGUGGUGCAUGGUUGUCGUCAGCUCGUGUCGUGAGAUGUUAGGUUAAGUCCCGCAACGAGCGCAACCCUCGUCCCAUGUUGCCAGCGGGUUAUGCCGGGGACUCAUGGGAGACUGCCGGGGUCAACUCGGAGGAAGGUGGGGAUGACGUCAAAUCAUCAUGCCCCUUAUGUCUUGGGCUUCACGCAUGCUACAAUGGCCGGUACAAAGGGCUGCGAUACCGUAAGGUGGAGCGAAUCCCCAAAAAGCCGGUCUCAGUUCGGAUUGGGGU
rnacentral:rRNA from 1 species